rnacentral:rRNA from 1 species
GAUGAACGCUGGCGGCGUGCCUAAUACAUGCAAGUCGAGCGAACAGACGAGGAGCUUGCUCCUCUGACGUUAGCGGCGGACGGGUGAGUAACACGUGGAUAACCUACCUAUAAGACUGGGGUAACUUCGGGAAACCGGAGCUAAUACCGGAUAAUAUAUUGAACCGCAUGGUUCAAUAGUGAAAGACGGUUUUGCUGUCACUUAUAGAUGGAUCCGCGCCGCAUUAGCUAGUUGGUAAGGUAACGGCUUACCAAGGCCACGAUGCGUAGCCGACCUGAGAGGGUGAUCGGCCACACUGGAACUGAGACACGGUCCAGACUCCUACGGGAGGCAGCAGUAGGGAAUCUUCCGCAAUGGGCGAAAGCCUGACGGAGCAACGCCGCGUGAGUGAUGAAGGUCUUCGGAUCGUAAAACUCUGUUAUUAGGGAAGAACAAAUGUGUAAGUAACUAUGCACGUCUUGACGGUACCUAAUCAGAAAGCCACGGCUAACUACGUG